UUGCCAAGGUGAAGGGAUCAGUGUGUUCGCUGACGUUCCGUGUUCUGAGCAGCGCGUUCUGAGUUCCAGCAUCAGGAGCCUCCAUGACCAGCCUGACCUGAGCACCUACAGGCAGCACCAGCAUGGGUACUACAAGAGGGCAUACACACUACUCAGACUAUGAUGAAAUUAAUGGCCUGAUUCUUCACCCUUGUUGGUAUCCACCAUCUCAGCCAUGCAACUUUGCACUGCUCUACUACUCAGCAGGUGGGUGUAAUCUUCCAACCCCGAGCUCAGCAUGUGUCUGGCUUUGGUCAAUAGGAAAUCAGCCAAAAUGCAAGCUGCUGUGAAGGUAUCAUUUGGCCUACUGACCUUGACUUUCUGUCAUCCCUGGGAAGACAUAUGGGGUCCAGCCAUCUAGUCUGUGUAGGAUGAGGGAUUUGUGACACUGAGCUGCCCUAGCCAAGGCCAGAUGAGAGCACAUCUCCUAGGAAGCCUGCUGAUGCACAAGAAAUAUUCAUUGUUCAAUAUCCCUGUGUUCUGUGGUUAUUUGUUAUGCAGCUACAGCUAACUGCCUUAUAUUCUAAUUAGUUAGGCUCCUUGGGUAGUGCACCAGCCCCAUACACUGAGGAUGGCAGGUUUGAGCCCUGCCCCAACCAAACUGCAACAAAUAAUAGCUGGGUGUGGUCGCAGACACCUCUAGUCCCAGCCACUUGGGAGGCUGAUGCAAGAGAAUCACCUAAGCCCAGGAGUUGGAAGUGCUGUGAGCUGUGAUGCCGAGGCAAUCUACCAAGGGGAAUAAACAGGUCAAGUGCUGACCCAGCACCCCUUUGCACCAGUCUUUCAAACCCUGGCCACACUAACUAAUCAACCUGAUUGCUGUUUAUGCCAAGAUCUAGACCAUGCAAAGCAACCUGAAUUCAUUUUCAUCCCUGCUGAUGUCAGUGCCUGGUGGAACCAAUCUGGAAAAAGCAUGAAUGAUAAUAUGUGGUAUCCACAGCCAGAGAAGAAGCAACAUACGACUUCACCUGCUGGUGAGACAACUGGUCUGUAAAAACUGUGGAGAUAUCUUUUGCUCAGGGACACAUAACAACCUGAUAUGUGAAUAUGCCAGUGAAGAGGACAAGACAUGACAAUCCCCAGGCUGGAAGGUCACAGGUUCUAACCUGACUGUCUAUAAAUAAUACUGGUCUUUUUAUCUUGUGUGGUAAUAAGGUAUACAAAUGGUUCCCACUCAAAUGGUUAGGAUGCUAUAGUCUUGGCUAUCUGACACGCUCUAUUACCAAGUAUUCCACUUUAAAUUCCAGUCAAAUUACAAUCUUGGGCUCUGUUGCUCAUAAGGUUGUACCUUAUGAACAUACAAAAUGUGACAUUAUAAAAAAUCCCCUUGUAUAUCAUAACUCAAAGUUCUUUUCAAUGCUCAGGAUCCUUUAUUCAGCAUUUGGAACUUAACAGAAUUGAAAGUGCAGUCAUAAAUCUCUCCAUGGUAAUAGAAUAAGAGCUAAACAUCACCAUGUGGGCAUUGGGAACACUUCAAGCAGAGAUUAACAGCCUAGCAUCUGUUGUAAUUCAAAAUCACCACAUCCUGGAUGCUUUGAUAGCUCAACAAAGAAGAGCUUGUGCUGUUAUUUGGGGGAAAAUGUUGUUUUUGCAUAAAUCAGUCAGGGAAAACAGAGACUGAUCUACAUCUCUUAAAGAACAAGAUAAACAUUCUUCAUCAAAUUAAUGAAGUGAAACCAUUCUAUUGAACUGACCUUUUCCCAGGAAUGGGAGACUGGUUUAAUGGGGGUAUGAGGAAAUGUGCUUAGAUCUGUUCUUUUCUGCUUAUUCAUUCUCAUCCUAAUUUAUAGUCUCUUUUUUUUUGAGACAGAGUCUCACUAUGUCACCCUUGGUAGAGUGUUGUGGCAUAACAGAUCACAGCAGCCUCAAAAUCUUGGGCUGAAGCAAUUCUCUUGCCUCAGUCUCCCAAGUAGCUGGGACUACAGGUGCCCACCACAAUGCCUGGCUAUUUUUGUUGUUUUUGUUGUCACAAUUGUCAUUGUUACCUUAGCCAGCCAGGCUGGGUUCAAACUUACCAGCCUCAAUGUAUGUGUCCGGUGCCUUACCCAAGGCAGGUAUGGGUGCCACCUCUAAUUUAUACUAUUAUAUGUCUUAUCAAACAUCUUAUCUUAUUACUAAAUUGCUAACCUGCUUUCUCUCUCUCUACAUUUACCACCUCAGCUCUUAAUGUUUGAAACUUCUAGGGAAGUUCCAGACCAGAGAAAUGAAG